rnacentral:rRNA from 1 species
CGGUCCGAGAGAGAUCGGCGUAAUCCGACGGGUUUCGGCUCGUCGAUUACCUCGCGUCGCACGGUGCUCUUCAACGGGUGCCGUCGACGGCCGAGACGUUUACUUUGAAAAAAUUAGAGUGCUCAAAGCAGGCGAUUGCCGCUCGAAUAGUCUUGCAUGGAAUAAUGGAACAGGACCUCGGUGCUGUCUCGUUGGUGCGCGUGCGAACGUGCAAAUCCUCUCAGCCACAGAGGUAAUGAUCAACCGGAGCGGACGGGGGCAUUCGUAUUUCGGCGCUAGAGGUGAAAUUCUUGGACCGCCGAAAGACGAGCGACUGCGAAGGCAUUUGCCAAGAACGCUUUCGUGAAUCAAGAACGAUAGUUAGAGGUUCGAAGGCGAUCAGAUACCGCCCUAGUUCUAACCGUAAACGAUGCCGACCGGCGAUCGGCGGGCGUUGCACAGUACACGACCCCGCCGGCAGCCUCGACGCGAAAGCUCGAGCCGGGUUCCGGGGGGAGUAUGGUUGCAAAGCUGAAACUUAAAGGAAUUGACGGAAGGGCACCACCAGGAGUGGAGCCUGCGGCUUAAUUCGACUCAAC